UGGGGAAUCUUGGACAAUGGGCGAAAGCCUGAUCCAGCCAUGCCGCGUGGAUGAUGAAGGCCCUAGGGUUGUAAAAUCCUUUCGUUGGGGACGAUAAUGACGGUACCCAAAGAAGAAGCUCCGGCUAACUUCGUGCCAGCAGCCGCGGUAAUACGGAGGGGGCUAGCGUUGUUCGGAAUUACUGGGCGUAAAGCGCACGUAGGCGGCUUUGUAAGUUAGAGGUGAAAGCCCGGAGCUCAACUCCGGAACUGCCUUUAAGACUGCAUCGCUUGAAUCAUGGAGAGGUUAGUGGAAUUCCGAGUGUAGAGGUGAAAUUCGUAGAUAUUCGGAGGAACACCAGUGGCGAAGGCGGCUCACUGGCUCGGUACUGACGCUGAGGUGCGAAAGCGUGGGGAGCAAA
rnacentral:rRNA from 1 species